GUCUGAUGGAGCACGCCGCGUGAUGAUGAAGGGUUUCGGCUCGUAAAACUCUGUUGUUGGAGAAGAACAGGUGUGAGAGUAACUGUUCACAUCUUGACGGUAUCCAACCAGAAAGCCACGGCUAACUACGUGCCAGCAGCCGCGGUAAUACGUAGGUGGCAAGCGUUGUCCGGAUUUAUUGGGCGUAAAGCGAGCGCAGGCGGUUUCUUAGGUCUGAUGUGAAAGCCUUCGGCUUAACCGGAGAAGUGCAUCGGAAACCGGGAGACUUGAGUGCAGAAGAGGACAGUGGAACUCCAUGUGUAGCGGUGAAAUC
rnacentral:rRNA from 1 species